UACGGAGGGUGCAAGCGUUAUCCGGAUUUAUUGGGUUUAAAGGGUCCGUAGGCGGGCUCAUAAGUCAGUGGUGAAAUCCUGCAGCUCAACUGUAGAACUGCCAUUGAUACUGUGAGCCUUGAAUUUGGUUGAAGUGGGCGGAAUAUGACAUGUAGCGGUGAAAUGCUUAGAUAUGUCAUAGAACACCGAUUGCGAAGGCAGCUCACUAAGCCUGGAUUGACGCUGAUGGACGAAAGCGUGGGUAGCGAACAGG
rnacentral:rRNA from 2 species